GGUUAAGCGACCAAGCGUACACGGUGGAUGCCCUGGCAGUCAGAGGCGAUGAAGGACGUGCUAAUCUGCGAUAAGCGCCGGUAAGGUGAUAUGAACCGUUAUAACCGGCGAUUUCCGAAUGGGGAAACCCAGUGUGACUCGUCACACUAUCAUUAACUGAAUCCAUAGGUUAAUGAGGCGAACCGGGGGAACUGAAACAUCUAAGUACCCCGAGGAAAAGAAAUCAACCGAGAUUCCCCCAGUAGCGGCGAGCGAACGGGGAGGAGCCCAGAGCCUGAAUCAGCAUGUGUGUUAGUGGAAGCGUCUGGAAAGGCGCGCGAUACAGGGUGACAGCCCCGUACACAAAAGCGCAUAUGCUGUGAGCUCGAUGAGUAGGGCGGGACACGUGGUAUCCUGUCUGAAUAUGGGGGGACCAUCCUCCAAGGCUAAAUACUCCUGACUGACCGAUAGUGAACCAGUACCGUGAGGGAAAGGCGAAAAGAACCCCGGCGAGGGGAGUGAAACAGAACCUGAAACCGUGUACGUACAAGCAGUGGGAGCCCCACCACUAAGCCAGUGGUGAACUCCACAUACGCAUCCUUUGCGGAAGGUGCGGUUAACGGAGCGUAAGCGACGUUCAACCUCAAAAAAGCAGAGGGGGCUUAGUGGUGGGGUGACUGCGUACCUUUUGUAUAAUGGGUCAGCGACUUAUAUUCUGUAGCAAGGUUAACCGCAUAGGGGAGCCGAAGGGAAACCGAGUCUUAACCGGGCGUUAAGUUGCAGGGUAUAGACCCGAAACCCGGUGAUCUAGCCAUGGGCAGGUUGAAGGUUGGGUAACACUAACUGGAGGACCGAACCGACUAAUGUUGAAAAAUUAGCGGAUGACCUGUGGCUGGGGGUGAAAGGCCAAUCAAACCGGGAGAUAGCUGGUUCUCCCCGAAAGCUAUUUAGGUAGCGCCUCGUGAAUUCAUCUCCGGGGGUAGAGCACUGUUUCGGCUAGGGGGCCAUCCCGGCUUACCAACCCGAUGCAAACUGCGAAUACCGGAGAAUGUUAUCACGGGAGACACACGGCGGGUGCUAACGUCCGUCGUGAAGAGGGAAACAACCCAGACCGCCAGCUAAGGUCCCAAAGUCAUGGUUAAGUGGGAAACGAUGUGGGAAGGCCCAGACAGCCAGGAUGUUGGCUUAGAAGCAGCCAUCAUUUAAAGAAAGCGUAAUAGCUCACUGGUCGAGUCGGCCUGCGCGGAAGAUGUAACGGGGCUAAACCAUGCACCGAAGCUGCGGCAGCGACGCUUAGGCGUUGUUGGGUAGGGGAGCGUUCUGUAAGCCGUUGAAGGUGGCCUGUGAGGGUUGCUGGAGGUAUCAGAAGUGCGAAUGCUGACAUAAGUAACGAUAAAGCGGGUGAAAAGCCCGCUCGCCGGAAGACCAAGGGUUCCUGUCCAACGUUAAUCGGGGCAGGGUGAGUCGACCCCUAAGGCGAGGCCGAAAGGCGUAGUCGAUGGGAAACGGGUUAAUAUUCCCGUACUUGGUGUUACUGCGAAGGGGGGACGGAGAAGGCUAUGUUGGCCGGGCGACGGUUGUCCCGGUUUAAGCGUGUAGGCUGACUUUCCAGGCAAAUCCGGAGAGUCAAGGCUGAGGCGUGACGACGAGGCACCACGGUGCUGAAGCAACAAAUGCCCUGCUUCCAGGAAAAGCCUCUAAGCAUCAGGUAACAUCAAAUCGUACCCCAAACCGACACAGGUGGUCAGGUAGAGAAUACCAAGGCGCUUGAGAGAACUCGGGUGAAGGAACUAGGCAAAAUGGUGCCGUAACUUCGGGAGAAGGCACGCUGACAUGUAGGUGAAGCGGUUUACCCGUGGAGCUGAAGUCAGUCGAAGAUACCAGCUGGCUGCAACUGUUUAUUAAAAACACAGCACUGUGCAAACACGAAAGUGGACGUAUACGGUGUGACGCCUGCCCGGUGCCGGAAGGUUAAUUGAUGGGGUCAGCGCAAGCGAAGCUCCUGAUCGAAGCCCCGGUAAACGGCGGCCGUAACUAUAACGGUCCUAAGGUAGCGAAAUUCCUUGUCGGGUAAGUUCCGACCUGCACGAAUGGCGUAAUGAUGGCCAGGCUGUCUCCACCCGAGACUCAGUGAAAUUGAACUCGCUGUGAAGAUGCAGUGUACCCGCGGCAAGACGGAAAGACCCCGUGAACCUUUACUAUAGCUUGACACUGAACAUUGAGCCUUGAUGUGUAGGAUAGGUGGGAGGCUUUGAAGCGUGGACGCCAGUCUGCGUGGAGCCGACCUUGAAAUACCACCCUUUAAUGUUUGAUGUUCUAACGUGGACCCGUGAUCCGGGUUGCGGACAGUGUCUGGUGGGUAGUUUGACUGGGGCGGUCUCCUCCUAAAGAGUAACGGAGGAGCACGAAGGUUGGCUAAUCCUGGUCGGACAUCAGGAGGUUAGUGCAAUGGCAUAAGCCAGCUUGACUGCGAGCGUGACGGCGCGAGCAGGUGCGAAAGCAGGUCAUAGUGAUCCGGUGGUUCUGAAUGGAAGGGCCAUCGCUCAACGGAUAAAAGGUACUCCGGGGAUAACAGGCUGAUACCGCCCAAGAGUUCAUAUCGACGGCGGUGUUUGGCACCUCGAUGUCGGCUCAUCACAUCCUGGGGCUGAAGUAGGUCCCAAGGGUAUGGCUGUUCGCCAUUUAAAGUGGUACGCGAGCUGGGUUUAGAACGUCGUGAGACAGUUCGGUCCCUAUCUGCCGUGGGCGCUGGAGAACUGAGGGGGGCUGCUCCUAGUACGAGAGGACCGGAGUGGACGCAUCACUGGUGUUCGGGUUGUCAUGCCAAUGGCACUGCCCGGUAGCUAAAUGCGGAAGAGAUAAGUGCUGAAAGCAUCUAAGCACGAAACUUGCCCCGAGAUGAGUUCUCCCUGAGACUUAAAGUCUCCUGAAGGAACGUUAAAGACGAUGACGUUGAUAGGCCGGGUGUGUAAGCGCAGCGAUGCGUUGAGCUAACCGGUACUAAUGAACCGUGAGGCUUAACCUU
rnacentral:rRNA from 1 species